UACGUAGGGGGCUAGCGUUGUCCGGAUUUAUUGGGCGUAAAGAGCGUGUAGGCGGCCAUGUAGGUCCGGUGUGAAAACUCGAGGCUUAACCUCGAGAUGUCAUCGGAAACCAUUUGGCUAGAGUCCGGAAGAGGAGAGUGGAAUUCCUGGUGUAGCGGUGAAAUGCGCAGAUAUCAGGAAGAACACCAAUGGCGAAAGCAGCUCUCUGGGACGGUACUGACGCUGAGACGCGAAAGCGUGGGGAGCGAAC
rnacentral:rRNA from 1 species